UUUAGAUGGCGACCGGCGCACGGGUGAGUAACACGUAUCCAACCUGCCGAUGACUCGGGGAUAGCCUUUCGAAAGAAAGAUUAAUACCCGAUGGCAUAGUUCUUCCGCAUGGUAGAACUAUUAAAGAAUUUCGGUCAUCGAUGGGGAUGCGUUCCAUUAGGUUGUUGGCGGGGUAACGGCCCACCAAGCCUUCGAUGGAUAGGGGUUCUGAGAGGAAGGUCCCCCACAUUGGAACUGAGACACGGUCCAAACUCCUACGGGAGGCAGCAUG
rnacentral:rRNA from 1 species